rnacentral:lncRNA from 10 species
GCAAGUGAUUUCAGAAAUCUAAACCCUGAGAAAACAUGGGUAACAGAGAAGAACUUCUGCUGUGAUAUCUACUUCUGCAGGGAGUAGAGAAACAGAAGUAGAAGGUAAAUCUGAGGCCAACUACUUCCUUGGGAAACACCACCAUCUCUCAGUCAGCAAAGACAGAACCAGAGAGAGAGACUCUGCAAGUUCAGGAAGAAAGGUUCCAACUACUUUUACUCUCCGUUGCAUCUCCUAAUGUCACCACUUCCUCAGAGCAGGGUUUAGUCACUACUACAAAACAUUGCUCAGGAACUGCAGAGCCACUAGCCUGGCAUGUGGUGACACAUUCCCAACACAAUUCUCUAACAUUCUGAUUUCCCUUGCAAAGAUAAAUUCAAGCGAACUUAGAACUCUUAAAGAUCAGAUUGAGAUUGAAUGCCAUUGGCUUUCUCCCCAUACCUAUGCUCCUACACAUCUCUUCAGCCCAGCACAGGGUUUUAAAAGCUCACUGCUUAACACAGGGCUAUCUCCUCUGCUGGUUAUGAGCUGCAAGGAUAGAGUCCAUGUCCUGUUUGUGUUGGUGUUCCUGGCCACUAGCCAAGAACCUGCAGCCCAGCCCUAGAAUAGCAGUUGAAUGAAUGUGGCAGCCCACACACUCAAAGACACCAGAAUUAUCUUACCCUUUCCCAGAGAGCUUCAGGUACCUUUCUUUUCCUAAAUGAGUCACUAAUGUGUCUGUAUAAAUAUGGUUUCCAUAUAUGUCACAGAGCCCAAACAUUUCAUCUGACUUACUGUGGUUUACUUUUUGUGACUGCAUUUUUAUUAUAUCUUAUAUAAAAAGGGGGAUAUAACAGAAGGAAAAAACAGUAAAGCAAAAACCCAUAUCUAGCUUCAGAGCAUUACAUAUCCACUGGAAGCCCUAAAGCAAUGCUCCAUGAUCGCAUGGCCUUUCCGCUGCAUAACCCUGAGGUCAUUUUUUGAUACAUAAUUCUCAAAGUAUGCAGUGCUGAAAGACCUUGAAGAGCUUUCUUAAAUGAUGUUAUGGUUAAAAUUUCUAUGAUUGCAGUCCUUGAAAUCAUAAAAGAAUAAAUACAUCCUUGGAAAAGAUCUCACUUCUCUUCUUCUUCAUUCCUUCACAAUUCAGCCCCCACCUCUCAAGGAGCUGUCUAGAGCAUGGCGAGCAAGCUAAUGCUUUCCCAGAGUUUAUGACAGAUGCCAGUUUUAGUGUUCCCCAAAUGCUAACAUUAAUACACACAACUACUGUAUAGGGUAGUCACCAUUACCACCCCUAUCUGAGGUAUGAAGUUAGAAAUGUAACAAGUGACAGAGGUAGAAUUUGAACGCAUCUGAGUCCAGGCUCCUGGAACCAUGCUAUGUUGUGAUUUUCUGGGAUCUUGGGCUAUUUUUACAAUUAGAGAUGUGACCCAAGGGCAAUGGAUUUCCAUCCUGGUGAGUUCUUCUGGGGAGAGACUGCACUUCUCCCAGUCCUGUCCCCAACUCUUCCUCCUCACAGUUACCAUGUAGGAGCAUGAAAACUAUCCAUGUUUGCCCAGUAAGGUGGCAUUCUUCCAAACAUUAGCUGGCCCCACCUUAUAACACAUAAGCGAGAAGCUCUAGGUCACUUGACCUCAGGGCACAUGCAAAUGUUUAUCAGGCUGCCCAGUGACUUGUAGAGGCGGCAUUUCCUGGAAACAUCAUGGUUAGACAUUUCAUUCAGUGAGGUGUUCAGAACAUCUGAAUCACUCCUGUUGCCUAGCAACUUGUUUGUGUUUGGCAGGAUGAAGACAACUCAGGCACAGGUACAGUCGGAUAUAAGGCAGAAAUCUAUUCAGCACGACGUCCUCCCAACACUAGACUGCUGAUUUAGUGCUUAAACUUGACAGUGUUCUUUCCCACUUUCUCACUCUUGGUAGAGGCUCCUUCAGUCAUUCUCUUUAAGUCAGGAGCAUUCAAAAGGCACUAUGCUGUACACAGAAUAAACAGGUCCUUUGUAGCUGAAAUAUAGGCUACUAUUUUUCCUACAGAGUUUUGAAAAAAAACUUUUAAGACAAAGCUAAUUACAGGGUUCUUACAUAUAAAAGGGAAAAGAGUUAUACAGUAUCAUGGAAAUUACUUGUCAUCCUUAAAAGAAUUAGUUCUUUCACAUAUUCGCAUAUCUGUCCCUUUUCUUUGAUAACAAGAAUUGAUUAGCACAAUAUAAGUAGCUUCGGAAUCAAGGAGGUUCACCCUCCAAUACCGUCAUAAAUACAAAUAUAUAGCAAAGCUGGCCUAAAGUCACCUUACUAACCUUCAUCUUCAAAUUUAAGUUAGCAUGUGUGCCUGGGUUACUCUAGGAGCCAAAAAUCUAGAACAAAACACUGUGGGCUUGCAUUCCAUAUACAUUCUCCGACAGUUACGGCUUUUCCUCUAUUAUUUUAGGUCUCCGCUACUUUCCCAGUCAUUUCUAUGCGUUAAAUACUCAGAGAAAGAAAAGUGGUUUUAGAAAAGCCGCCCCCACCACCACCCCAAUACUGGGAUUUCUGUUGUUGUUUCUUUCGUUUUUGCUCUUCUUGUCAGAGGACAUGCCUGCUAUAGAAACAAGAAAAUAAGAUGUAAGGGUGUGCUUAAAUGUUACUCCUAAUCUUAGUGGGACAGUCCUGAGUUCUAGAUUUAUUAAAUGUUUAUGAACAGGAGGAUACAAAAGUUGUUUAGAAAAUUUUAUUUUUUCUUCCUUUCAUCCAAUAAUAUUCAUCCUUACCUUGGGGUUUCAGUAUCCUGAUAUUUGUAAGAACUAUUAAAAAUCAAAUAGAUAUGAAUUACUUCACUUUUUUAACAACUAUAAAAUGGGUAUAUGAGUUUACUUAGCAAAGAUUUUCAACUUAAACAUGUUAAUCCUUUAUCUCCUCCAAAAUAUUUUUCUUUUUGAAAGGCAUAUUUAAGGAAAAAAAUCUUUCCAUAUUAAAAAAUUCUUGAAUUCCACCAAAGUCCAUAACAGAUUUAAGAAAAGAGUACCCUCAUUAUCUAGAACUGGCUAACUGUAGGCUGCAAUUACUAGUGGCAAGAAAUAAGGGGGUUGAAUCACUCUCCAAACUAUUUCAAAGUCCUUAACCACAUCUCUCAAGCAAGUUUUCUAAUUUGGGGUUCGUAGUUGAUAGGUGGACCUCCUGAAGCCCUGUAAAAUGUUUUGGCUCAUGCAUAUAACCAGAAGUAGAAAGCUUAUUUCUUCAGAUUCUCAAAAUCGAAUUUAGGUCUUGGGAAAUCAAAUUGCCAGCAGAUAACUGAGGAUUUAACCUCAUGAAUUUGUUGCUGACUACCUGCUUAAUAUAAAUUGCAGUAACAUAAAAGAAGAAUGUUUGUUCCCAUGCUGAAACUGAAGAUUUCUAAUAAUUAAAUAGCAGUAGAGCCCCAUCUAUGACAGCAAGCCAGUUUACUGCAUUUGUAUACCCUGAGAGCUAAAUUACCACUAAUUGUCUCAUCUUUCGAAAAUGUAUUUAAACUUCAUUAGAUAUGUGAAUGUCUGUUAUGGCCAGGCGAAAGAGACCGACCUAGUCCCUGGCCUCACAAAGCUUGCAGUCUGGUUGGAGAAACAAACAAAUCAUUAUCACACAGGGAGAUAAAUGUUUAGAUAAUUGAAAGUUCAGGAUGCUAUAAGAACACAUUGCCAAGGCACGCAACCCAGUCUGACAUUUAAGCUAUGAGAAUUGGCAAAAUAUCCAGACGCUGAUGACAGCAGGUACUCUCACAAGUUUCUAGUAGAUAUGUAAUAAGAAAACCUUGGCCAGGUGCAGUGGCUCAUGCCUGUAAUCCCACCACUUUGGGAAGCCGAGGCAGGCGGAUUACCUGAGGUCAGGAGUUCGAAACCAGCCUGGCCAACAUGGCGAAACCCCAUCUCUACUAAAAAUACAAAAAUUAGCCAGGCGCAAUGGUGGGUGUCUGUAAUCCCAGCUAUUCAGGAGGCUGAGGCAGGAGAAUUGCUUGAACCCAGGAGGUGGAGAUUGCAGUGAGCCGCCGAGAUCGCACCAUUGCACUCCAGCCUGGGCAACAGAGAGAGGCUCCGUCUCAAAAAAAAAAAAAACACCUUCCUCUCAGAGAUGCAAUUUAAUGAUAUCUAUUAAAAUUACACAUACACCUUAUGACCUGCAAUUCUACUUUACAAGUUUAUAUAGAUAUAUUGUCUACAUGCAAAAUAACCUACAUACAGUUACUUACUGCAGUACUGUUUAAGAGCAAACAAUUGGCCACAACCCAAAUGUUGUCCAUCAAUAGAUCACUAUUUUAACUGUGGAACAUCCAUAAAUGGACUCUGUUAUUCUGUAACUGCUUUAAAAAAAGAAUGAGGAAAGUGUCUUAGUACUAGCUUAUUAAGUCCUCCUACAUAUAUUGUAAGGAAAAAAAACAUACAUUGCAGAGAAAUAUAGUACGCUAUCUUUUACAUUAUGAAGAGGGCAAAUAGGAAUAUUCCUAUUUGCUUAUUUAUGCAUAAAGAAAUUCUAGAAGGAUGCUUUAGACAUUGACAGAGGCUGAGAGGAUGGUGGAGGCAGAAUUUGGGCAGACUCUGUGAAUGCGAAAUGUAUGAAAAUGGUAUACUUAAAAAGUAAUCCUUACAUCAAGUGUGUGGGACAUUGCAAAGGAAAAAAAAAACAGUAAUCCUUUAUUUUUCAAGCCCAAGUUAUAUCAACCUAGCACCUUUUUUUGGUUUAUUAUUUUAACACACUUCUAAAAUUCUGCAGUGAUUAAAUUAGAACAUACGACUACUUUAUUUUCCAAAUCAGGGUUUCACUCUCUCCUUUCCUGCUUGUGUCCAUCUGCCAUCCUGAAGGGGGUUUCCCCAGAGUACCUGAGAGCGAGGCAAGUCCUCUGUGCCUCCCUGCUCUGGUUUGUUGGCUGAGGAUAUUCAAGAGCUUUUUUUAAAGCUCAUGAAAGGAUUUUGUUUUGUUCACUGCCUCAUUCGCAACACUGACAAGAAUGCCUGGCACAUAGAAAGCGUUCAGUAAGUAUUUGUUGAAUAAAUGAAUUCUUUUCUUCACUCAGCUUCAAUGAGACAGACACCACCAGACAAAGGGAAAGAUAUCAAAAUGGUGUCAAAUAUUUAGAAAUAGCUGCCAUUCUUAGUGCCAGCUCAAAGUAGGCAUUCUAACCUUAGCAACAUUCCUAGAAUUAUUGUGAAUUUCACAGAAGACAAAUAAUGUUAUAGAAUACUGUGCUGAAUAAUAUUAACUACCUACAAAUAUUUAUUUUAAAUGAUUUGGGAUUACAUGGUCCUGGUGUCUAUCUUAGGGUAGAAAUCUUUUUAGGCAAACACCACAAUAAACAGUAAUGAUAAAAAGUAAAAAAAAACAAAACAGCUAUCAUCAGGGUCAAAUGAACCCUAGUCUUAAGGUGCCCAGAGAUAUAGCAAGAAAAGGGAAACUCUUUUGCACUAAAAAAUGCAACUAUUUUUAUUUUCAAGAAUAAAAUUAUACUUGAAAUAAAAUUCCAAGUACUCUAGGCAGUGAAUUGAGUUGUACUGCUUCAACCACACAAGCAAAACCUCUUCUUCCUCAGUGGGCAUAGAAUGGGUAUAACUGCCACAGCUCUUUAAUUUUGGUUUAGAUAACUAUAAAAACAGAAUAACUUUGCUAGUAAUUUCCGUACUGUUGCUGAAAGGUGCAUGGCUGACUGAUAUCUCUUUGAAGAUUUUCUGUUUUCUUAAGGCAUGGUUGAGACAGUUAAUUGAGUGCUCUCUUUUGGCAGUAAUGCAAACAGGUUAGAAAGUUAUGGGGUUACCUCUAUUUCUCUGGCUGUCAUUUAAAACGGCAAUCCAAGACCGAGAAAACAUCCAUUCACCUGAAAGAACUUGAAAUUUAAGACUCUCCUGAGGAUGAAAUAAAAAUUCUCAGAGUUACGACAUUUAUGAAUGUCUUAACCAGAGAAGGGAAGAUAGCAGCAGCAAAGCUGCAGGACAACUGAUAGACAGCCAACCUUCAGCUGAUGUAAGUUAGACUCAUGCUAUAGCAGCAGGAAGCACCAAACCUACUGUUUCCAGAUGGUAGCACAGCAAUUCCCACCUUGGUCCUUGCAGCAGUCAACACUCCCAGUCUCUGGCAGGUCCUUUUGGAGAAGAGUGUUAUAGGGCCACAGGAUGCAGCUCUAGGGGAAGAAAAAGUCAGAGAUUAAAUAAGAAUGAGGCUUUGUUGCUAUGUUUUGCUAGUUUUCUGGGGGUGGAGGUGGAAUGAAGAGCCCUCUGAUGCUACCCUCCUAGAGCUCUCCAAUACUGGCCCUCUAGGAGAGUUGCCAGGAAAACACUGGCUAUAACAGGUACUGACACUUCAGGUCAAGAAAAGCAACUCAGCCAUUCACUCCACUAAUAUUUAACACCUGCCAGCCCCUAUUUAAAGUUGGAGCAGGGCAGGCAGGCAGAUUCCCUUGCCUCCUGAUGUUCGCGUUCUAACACAGGAACACACAGAUAAACAAGAAGACCAGUCAAUGUCACUCAAAAAAGUCAGUCAGAGUCAGGGCAAGGCUGAUGUGGUCGAUGUAGAGCAAGUGGUGUCAGGGAAGCCUUUCUAAGGGGAUAUUUAAGACUUAAUAAGGGUUGGGGAUGGGGGGGGUGGGGCAGCUACAAAAGAAGAGUAAGCCAGGCAGAGGGAACGGCUGGGCUGGCCCAAAGGCCCUGAGGCAAGAAUGAGCCAGGAAGGUUUAAAAAGAAUGGAAAGCACGGCGGGAGUAUUGUGAACUAGGCAUAGAGAAGGGAAGAGGAGUGCAGAGGGCUUUAUAGGACAGUAGAAGGACUAUGUACAUAAAGGGCAAACUAAGUGUCACAGAAACUUAGGUUGAUGUGCUGUGCAUAAUCUGUCACCUUCUACUAAAUGGUGGAAGAUUUCCUUUGAAAUACAUACAGUUGCUGCAGUCUUUCAAUGGAUUUUUUAGUUGAAAUUUGCCUUGUGGAUGGAAGCAAAAUAUAGGCUACUGGCCAGAGGUCUGCAGUUCAUAGAACCACAAUAUGAAUAUCCAAAGAAUACAACCUGAGACUACCCAAUAGUGCAUAUAUGUAUAUGAUUUGGUAGCAUAUAUAUAUAUAUAUAUAUAUCUUUUAACUACCUAACAAAUUUCAUUAAAAUCUGUUUAACAACUGCAGGAUGUACACUCAUGUGCAACCAGAAAUCGAUUUUUAGUUGAGAUCCCAUCUUAAUCAAAAAUACUCAACUCUUGGAAGAAACUCAAGAACAAAUGUGUCACUCUUAGGUAUAUACCCCCCAAAAAAAUGAAAACACCAGUCCAAGCAAAAACUGUACACAAAUAUUCAUAACAGCAUUAUUCAUAAUGGCCCCAAAGUGGAAAAAACCCAAAUGUCCAUCAACUAUUAAAUGGAUAAACAAAAUGUGGCAAACCCAUAUAAUAUUAUUGGGCAAUGGAAAGGAAUAAGGCAGUGAUACACACUGUAGCACGAAUGAAUCCUGACAACAUUAUUCUAAGUGAAAGAAGCCAGUCACAAAGACCACAUGUUAUAUGAUCCCAUUUAUAUGAAAUGUGCAGAAUAGGCAAAUCCAUAAAGACAGAAAGAUUUGUGGUUGCCAAGGGCUAGGGGAAGAAGAGAAUGGAAAGUGAAUGCUAAUGGGUAUAGGGUUUCUUUCUGGAGUGCUGUAAAUAUUCUAGAAUUAAAUAGUGGGGUUGGUGGCACAACUCUGAAUACACCAAAAACUACUGAUUUGUACACUUUAAAAAGGCCAGUUUUAUGGUAUGUGAAUUACAUCUCAGUGCAACUGUUGUAAAAUUAAAAGAACAAAAGAAUAUCUGAAAUGCUGUGAACAGAUGAAAUAAACUUCAACUGGCCCAAAAUGCUAUAUUCCAGUAAGCAUUACUAGACCCCAUUAAAAGGGACAAGCAGUUUAGUUUUACACUUCAGAUACUGUACACUACACUCCCCAUGGUACAUGUUUACCCCUCUGGAAAGAUCACCUUAUCCUUGGAGGAUGUUUUUCUCGUUUCACUUGGAACCCUUCUCCGGUUAUCACCCUCUCUCGACUCCACCUACCAUCCCCACUCACUCCACGCAAAUAAAAUUAAAGCAGAUAGUUGCUUUUGCACUCUAACUCAAGUCUGUGGACAAUUACAAUUGUUUAGAGCAUGGUAUUAAUGAUAUUUCUAAUAUGGUCAGCUUAUAGAUUUUAUUCAGUUACGUAGCCAAACCUAGCACUUUUCAUCUAGUCAAGCUGAAAAUGUGUGCCCUUGUCAAAAAGGAGAAUGGGCAAAAGGGUAGAUACUGGAAAUGCAAAACAAAUUCAAGCUUACUACUCCAAAAUCCCUUUCUGUAUAUAUCUUAACAUGGUGUUACAUUAAGACUACAUUCAUUUUAAAUAGUAUCUUAUAAGUUCAUGAUUUAUUUUAAAGUAUAUGUAGAAUGUAUAAUUUCACAAAGGAAUAAAGUAAAUUAUAUAACAACAGCAAAAUACUACUGUGAGAUGAUUAAUGUAGAAUCACAGAGGCAGGUAAAUAUAGAGAAGGUUUCUUGAUCACAAGGUGUAGUGGAAGAGGGAAUGCUAUCUCCUGGGACUGAAUAUUGUUCUACCUGCUCCCGGUAGCAAAUCACUGCAGAGACAGCAAAGCUUGAUGUUUAUGAACAAGGAUUCUGAAGGCCAACUCCACACUUAGCAUGACUCCACGAUUAAGUAUUAUGGCUCCAGGCAUGAUACUUAAUUUCCCUGAGCCUUAGUUCCCUCAUCUAUAAAUAGUACUAACUUAACAAGGUCCUUAAAAGAAUCAAAGGUUAUAUAAAAACAAAAAUAGAUCUAAAGGGAGAGACAGAUUGCAAAACAAUAAUAGUAGAGGACUUCAACACCCCACUUUUGGCAAUGGACAGAUCAUCCACGCAGAAAAUCAGUAAAAAACAUUGGAAUUAAACUAUACUCUAGACCAAAUGGACCUACUAACAGACAUUUACACAACAUUUCAUCCAACGGCUAUACAAUACACAUUCUUCUCAGCAGCACAUGGAACAUUCUCCAGAAUAGAUCAUAUCUUAGACCACAAAACAAGUCUCCACAAAUUCAAAAAAGUCACUAUUAUAUCCAAGUGUCUUUUCUGAAUCCAAUGGAAUAAAACGAAAAAUCAAUAACAAGAAGAGCUUUGGAAACUGUGCAAAUGUAUGGAAAUUAAGCAAAAUGCUCCUGAACAAUCAACAAAGAAAUUAAGAAGGAAAUUUAAACAUUUCUCAAAAUAAAUGAAAAUGGAAACACAACAUACCAGAACCUAUCAGAUACAGCAAAAGCAGUACCGAGGGAAUUUUAUAGCACCAUAUGCCUACAUCGAAAACAUAGAAAGACUCCAAAUAAAUAACCUAAUGGUGUACCUCAAGGAACUAGAAAAGAACAAAUCCAAAAUUAGUAGAAGGAAAUAAUAAACAUCAAAGCAGAAAUAAAUGGAGAAAAAAGAAAGAACCAAAGGAGUUAAUACUAAUAAAGACAUCAGAAACAGCACCUGGUAUAUAGUAAGCAUUAUAUGUAUUUGUUAAAUGAUUAAAAUAGAGCAUACUAGUUAAGUCUUGCAAAAUGACUAAAACUGUACUGCAUAUUUGGCUCUCAACUCCUUUGUAGAUAGAGGGGAAAAAAUUUUCCAAACUCAGAGAAAGAGAGAAAAUGCAUAUAUCUCCAUAUGUGUUUGGAGGAAGGCAAGUGGGAACCAUAUUUUGUUCCUCAGGAGGAAAAAGAAAGCAUUUGACACUUAACUUUAAUAUGGUCUGUACACAAGAGGCAAUGAGCAAUACUGCAGACCAGGGAAGACCGCCAUAUGACGUCACUUGAUAGUUUUUCACUGUUUCUCAAUAAAUCCCAAGGCAUAACUCUCUACAAUUUCUGUAGUAGGAAGACAAGGCAAUGUGAUACAAAUAUACAGCUCUGAUGAUCGGCUCACAACUGCACCAGAAAUCUCCAAUCCAUCUUUUACUUCCAUUUCCCUCUGCCAUGCUUCUGAUAACCAGAGCUGAGGAGGAGACAGUUCCAGAUCUCUGAAACAAAUUCUCCAACAUUAGGAGAUGGCCAAAAUAUAGCCACAUAAAAACACUAAGUAACCUGAUGCAUUGAAAAGCAACUCCCCCUAGAAGCAUCUGUUUUUAAGUUUAAUGGACUUCAGAGCCAUUGUCUGGCUAAAGAACAGCCAUAAUCAUCUCAGGGGAUUAAACAACUUGGAAGAAUAUUCCUAUUAGUCAUAGUCAUCUCAGGCUCCACCUAACAGUUAAACACAGAACUUUUAUGAAUUACAAAAGCUAUUAUGCUUAAGCCAUGUUUUAUUGUAAAUUGGACAGUAGAUAACUUUUCUUUAAAAGACUAGUUAUACGGUGCAAACCUUAGCUAGAAAACGACCCGUCUUCCUUCAGAUAGUCCCAUAUUGUACAUGGAAGACACGAUAAAGUUGAAUUUCCACAGCUAUUACACAGUCCUGUGACUAAGCUGAUGUCCCAGUGAUUUAUCAGCCGUUUUCAUUCCAUCUGGCAAAGCAUGUUGUUCUUAAGGCUAAUUAUUUAACAAUGUUUUCUUCAGAUAAAAUGGUAAUAAUCUUAUUAAUCAACUAUAGCAAUGUAUUUUCAUUUGCAUACCUAUGGAGUAUUGCUAAAGAGAAUAGAAAAUAGAUUAAUUCCCUUGCGGUUCACGUACACUAAAUGUAGCAUUCUGCAAGGAAGGAGAGCAAGAGAUGGCAUUUAUAACUAACUCCUGUGCAUUCUUGGAGAAGCUUUUUUUGACCAUUCCAGACCGCAUUUGGUUUCCUUUCCCUUGCUCCACGUUACUUUCUACUUUUUCUCUGACUUAACAGUUUGCUAACUGUAACUUUGGUCAGUUAUUUGUAGAGAUUUACUUGUCUCUUUCCAGUGAGACUGCAAGCUCUGUGAGGGAAGGGAUCACAUGUGUCAGAUUCUCUGCUGUCUUUCUGGCACAGAAUUGAGGGUUAUAAAUAUUUGUUCACUGACUAACUCCCAUUUUAUAAGAUAAGCUGUGUUCCUAAAGAAUCACAUGUCAGUUCCUCUCAAGAUAAGGAAGUCACUGAAGUAAUCUUAUAAGGGGAGGGAGUAAGCCCCACUAAUAUCAUUUAAUAUUAUGAAACAGUGACCCACAAGUUUGAACUUACAGAAGCAGAGUCCAUGGAUAUGGCUAUGGCAGAUGUGACUGAGGGGGAGGGAGAAAAGGAGUGGGGAGGAAUGACCCACUAAUUUAGAUGGGUACUUUCAGAGUGAAAGUUUAUUAUAAGAGCUCAAAUAGUGUUUUCUAAUUAUAGACUGUUAAAUUUAAAAUAUAUUGAAAGGCAACUCUGUACUUCUCUCUGCCCAAUGCAGACUGAAUUAAAAUAUCCAAGAAACAGGACUUUUUUUUUAAGCCCAGAAAGCCUGACACACCUAUUAAAAAGUUCUGUCUCAUAAGCUCUGCUUUCUACAGUUUCUGUUAGGUCUUCCAUGGCCCAGACAAUUGGCAAUCUUGUUCUUUCUUUCAUGACACAAAGUUGUUAUAUCCAAAUGAUUAACCUCCUAAGGUUAAAGUCAUGAGCGAUGACAAGAAGGUCAUAUAAUAUCAUAACAGUAAAAAUUAAAUAAUUUUAAACAAAUGCCUUCAAACCUUCACAAUAAAAGAAAAUAAACUCUUAUACUUUAACAUUUAAAGUGAGAAAGUGUUUAACCUUACCAGUGAGAAAAGAAACUCAAAGAAGUGAGAUACCAUUUUUCUACAUAUUAAAUUGACUCUUUAAAAUACCAACAUAAAAUUAUUACACUGCUUUCCAGGGCUAUUGUAAAAUAUAUUUCAUAUAUUCUAUAAACCUCCUAAGAACAUCAACAAAGAUUAGUUCUGAGCCUAUUAACCAAGACAUUGCCAGUAACAGUAAAAAAAAAAAAUGAGAAACAAGUGUCCAAUAAUAAGAGACAUGUUAAAAACAACAUGGUGGGUAGGUACAAUGGAAUAAUGAAAUGCUCCUAUCACAGUUAGUGGGGAAUGAUAAGAGGUGCAUUAUAUAUUCAUGGGUAUAAAACAAUGAUAUGUGUAUGAUCCUAUUUCUCCUGUUUCUACAAGUUGCAUGUGUAAAUAUAAAUGUGACUAGAAAGAUAAUGCAAAAUGCUAACAUAUAAUAGAUUUAUAGAUGACUUAAAUUUUUCUUUUGCUUAUCCAGGCAUAACAUUUCCUAAAAUAAACAUGAGUUGCUAUUAUAAUUAGAAAGUUAAAGAGAAAAGAUGACACAAAAACUCCCAAAACACAUUUCCAAAUAGCUACCAUAGUCACAUUCUUUUUUAAAAAAUUAUUAUGACUUGGGAGGCUGAGGCAGGCGGAUCACGGGGUCAGGAAAUCCAGACCAUCCUGGCUAACACGGUGAAACCCCGUCUCUACUAAAAGUACAAAAAAAAAAAUUAGCUGGGUGUAAGUGAUGGCAGGCACCUGUAGUCCCAGCUACUCGGGAGGCUGAGGCAGGAGAAUGCAGUGAACUCAGGAGGCGGACCUUGCAGCGAGCCGAGAUCGCGCCACUGCAAUCCAGCCUGGGUGAAAAAGUGAGACUCUGUCUCAAAAAAAAAAAAAAAUUAUUAUGACAAGCACAUUGUUUCAUAUCAUUAUGCUCCGAGGAUAAAAACGGUACACCUCAUUUUUCAUUUUGAUCAGUCUGUGUGUGGGGCAAGCAAAUAAAGGCAUUCAGUCUGGAAUCUUAAAAGUUUUCCUUUUAGCAAGAUGCCAUUUGUGGUGAUGUACCACCAAGUAGCAAAGAGGUCAGCCUCUCCAGUUAAAUAUAGCCUAAUUAUAUAGUUGAUAAAAAUAAAGGAAAAUGUACAUAUUUACUAUGAUUACUACUCAUGCUCAAAUAAAAUCCUGUCUUUGAAAUAGAAAUGAAACCCAAAGUAAAAAUAAAACAAGAAACUUAAUUCAAAAAUGUGAAUUAAGAUAGAAGCAAAUUUGGGAGGGGGUUAUUAUAGAGAAGCUGCCCUUCUUGCUUAGGGAGAGAGGAUAUUUGCUGGGAUGCAGAAAAACUCAUCAGGAUAUACAGAAGUGUUAUUGUCAAAACUGUAAGGAUCCUGUAGAAUAUACACCUGAGUAGGUUAACAGACUGAGCAGAAUGGCUAUACCUGAGUAAUUUAGUCAGAGCUAAGUGUAUGUUAACUAUCCAGGUUAGGCAGUGCCCUUCAGCUUUCUAGCCAUCCAAAUCUCUCGUUGACUGGAUGGUAAUUACUUGGACUACCUGGUUGGCAAUCCAUGUCCUCUAGUUUUUAUUUUCCUCUCUCCUAAUCUGUUGUUGUCCUUGUUCUUAAGAUUUCUAAGAGGUUGCUUACUCUAGCCUCCUCUGUAGUUAUCAGCGGUUUGCUUCUCUUGUGAGAAACUUGUUUGAAAGAUGAAUGAUUUGUACUUGUCAUAACUCUUACAAAGACUUCCACCAGGUGUACCAUGAGCAUGGCAUGCACCGUAGACUUCCACACCCUGCAGGCUUCCAAUAUUCCUUCCAAGCAAUCAGAAAGCAAGUUGCAUAUUAGCAUAUUUACAUAAACCCCUAUUUCACAAAGCAAAGUUUUUUCAAGUCUUCUUUUAAGUUUUAGAGGCAGGAUGACAUGCAGAGAGAACAAAACGGGAGUUAAGAAAUUAAAUAUUCAGGAUGCUAAGGAGUUAUUUGGUGGUGUCCAUAUGAAAGAGAGUAUUAAAGUACCAGGAAUCACUGGAGCAAGAGAAGAAGAAAGUGAAAUGAGGGGUACACUCGUAGAAGGUUUUGCAACUGAAUCUUGAGCAACAUAAAGGAAAAUAAAGCAAAGCCCCCAGAAGUUGGGAAGAUGAAUGCAUUUGGAUGAGUAUCAAGGUGGAAAUCAGAGGACCUGCCAGUGGAACCUCAGAAACCACCCAAGCUCUAAUGGGCUGUCACAAAACGGGAUGGUGAUGCUGACCACGUAAAUAGGUCAGCCACAUGCUUUUACCUCAGACUUCUAAGUCAUGCAAGGUCAGAGGCUACACCUCAGGUACUAUAGGAAGGGAAAGUGAAAGGAGUAAAUGUUACUAAUGUCAUUUUCAGUGAUCACACCUCUCUUCUUGGGCUAGGUACCCUGGAUGCCCCUUGAUCUCAGAAUAUGGCACCUUCAAGAGAAGGAUGGGGUUUACCACACAGAAAGAGAACCUCUGAGGUUUUCCCUUACCUCCAUAAAGAGUCUAAAGCUUGCUAUAGGAAAAAGUAAAGAAUAAUUCUUAUCUUUCCAAAAAGGCUUAGAGAUAGUAAACAAUACCAGUUUUCCAUCACAUUUCUAAACAAACAAAAAAGUAUAAGGGAAAUGUAACCACAUUGUCUUAGACCAUUCUUGCACUGCUAUAAAGAAAUACCUGAGACUGGGUAAUUUAUAAAGAAAAGAGGUUUAAUUGAAGUUCUGCAGGCUUUAUAGGAAGCAUGAUGCUGGCAUCUGCUUGCUUCUCAGGAAGCCUCAGGAAACUUAUAAUCAUGGUGGAAGGUAAAGGAAGAGCAAGCACAUCACAUGGCCAGAGCAGGAUCAAGAGACAGUGGGAGGAGAGAUGCCAUACACUUUUAAAUGACCAGAUCUUCUGAGAACUCACUAUUGUGAGAACAGUACCAAGAAGAUGAUACUAAAUCAUUCAUGAGAAAUCAACCACCAUGAUCUAAUCACCUCCCUGCAGGCCCCACAUCCAAUACUGGGGAUUAUAAUUCAACAUGAUAUUUGGGUGGGGACACACAUCCAAACUAUAUCACACGUGUAUUCUUUCCAGUGGGGAUACACACACUCAUUUUUCACUUUGUUUUUCAUUUCAAAUUUAGUACUUUGGCUAAAUUGUAAUAAUGUAAUAAUAAUGGAAUAAUGUAGUUUGUGAGCUACCCUCUAAUUGAGAGCAGAGGGAAAUAUGAUGAAAACAAGCCAAGGGCUUUCUGGGGAAAAGACCAUGGGCAAAAACUAUUUAUUACAAUUAGGAGAUCUGGUUUUAAUCUGGACUCUGAUAUUGUGAUCUUUAAAAAGUCAAUUGUGAUCUUUAAAAAGUCACUUUAAUUCUGUGGACCACAGUGAACUCAACCACAAUUUGCAGUUCAUCUGUACCCUCAGGACCCAGACAUCUCCUAGUACAUAGUAAGUAUUAUCAAGUAUUUGUUGAAGGAGAAAAAUAAAGACACUGAUUUAAUAGUCUCUCAAAUUUGUUCUGACUUUCUAUUGCCGGACUGUCCAAUACAACAGCUACAAGGUACAUGGGGCUACUUAAAUUUUAAUUUAAAUUCAUUAAAAUUUAAAAUUCAGUUCCUCAGUCACACUAGCUACAUUUCAAGUAUUCAAUAGGCACAUGUGAUGACUUGUGGCUACUGUACUGGACAGUGUAAAAUUAUGGAACAUUUCAGCAUUGCAGUCAGUUUUGCUGGACAGGAGUGCUCUCAGACAUAACUAAGGAGAAAGGCAACGCAUUGUACCCUCCUGUAGACACAGCUCUCUAUUCUAUGAAACUUCAUGAAAGGUUUACAGAGGGAACACGAGGAACUCAAGCAGAAAUUAAGCAUUCCCUUAGAGAACCAGUCUGUUUCUCUGCAUGUUGAAAGUACUGCUUCUCAGGAUAGUCUUCUCAACGAAUUGUGCUGAACAACCCGACUUCCAUAUGUAAAAAAAAAUGAAUCUAGAUACUAAUUUAUAAGAUAACAUAGAAGAAAAUCUAAGUGACCUUAGGUUUGGCAAUAGGUUGUUAGAUGUAACACCAAAAGCAUGAAAGAAAGAAAAAAUUGGUAAGUUGGACUCCAUUAAAAUUAAAAACUUCUACUCUAAGAAACACUGUUAAGAAAAAGACAAGUCAUUGACUAGGAGAAAGUAUUUGCAAAACACACAUCUGAUAAAAAACAUAUUCUAAAUAUAAAUAGAGCUCCUAAAACUCAACAAGAAAAAUAACCUAAUUAAAAGGUGGGCAAAAUAUCUGAACAGAUGCCUCAUCAAACAAGACAUAUAGAUGACAAAAAAUUAUAUGAAAAGAUGCUCAAUAUCAUAUGCAAUUAGGGAUUUGCAAUUUAAAACAACAAUGAGCUACAACCAUAUACAACAGCUAAAAUCCAUACUAACACCACCAAAUGCUGGUGAGGAUGUGGAGCAACAGGAACUCUCAUUCAUUGCUGGUGGGAAUGCAAAAUAAUCCACCCACACUGGUGGACAGUAAGGCAGUUUCUUAUAAAACUAAACAGAGUCUUAGCAUGUGACAAGGCAAUAGUUCUCCUUGGUAUUUACUCAAAUGAAUUGAAAACUUCUGUCCCCACAAAAGCUGCACACAAAUGUUUAAGCAACUUUAUUCAUAAUUGCCUAAAACUGGAGACAACCUAGAGGUCCUUCAAUAGGUGAAUGAGUAAACAAACUACGGUACAUCACAUAAUGCAGUAUUAUUAUUCAGGCUAAAAAGAAAUGAGCUAUUUCAAACUACAAAGACAUGAAGAAACAUUAAAUGCAAACUGCUAAAUGAAAGAAGCCAAUCUGAAAAGGCUAUAUACUGUAUGAUUCCAACUACAUGAAAUUCUAGAAAAUGUAAAACUAUGGAGACAGUAAAGAGAUGAGUGGUUGCCAGAGGUUGAGGAUUGGGGAGGAGUGAAUACGCAGAACACAGACUUUUAGGGCAGUGAAACUAUUCUGUAUAGUACUACAAUGAGAGCUACAUGUCAUUACACAUUUUUCAAAACCCACAGAAUGUACAAUAUAAAAAGUGAACUCUAAACUAUGGACUUUGGUUAAUAAUAUAUCAUAUUGGCUCCUUAACUGUACAAAGUGUACUACACUAAUGUGGGAAACUGAGGGGUAGGGGUAUAGCUUAUGGGAACUCAGUACUUUCUGUUCAUUGUUUCUGUAAAUCUGAAACUGCUUUUUAAAAAACGCCUAUUAAUUUACCAAAAAAGUAUUUCUCAGAAUUAGCUAUAAACUCUUAGUAUUAUCUAAGACAACAAUAAUCUGUUUUCACAAAGUAAAACAAGAAAUACUCCAAUUACGUGGUUUAAGAUGCAACGCAACACCCAAACAUUAGUCAAAAACAGCUUUCCUUUAAAGUUCAUAUGGAACCAAAAAACAGCCCGCAUCGCCAAGUC